rnacentral:tmRNA from 1 species
GGGAGCGACUUGGCUUCGACAGGAGUAGAGUGGCUUAGGUGGCAUACCGCUUUGGACAAAGCGUUAAAAGUCCGACAAAAUUUAAACGCAAACAACGCGAAAUUCGCUCCUGCUUACGCUAAAAUCGCGUAGCGGUCGAGCCUUGCUGCUGGGCGAUACUAUCUAGCUUGGCGUGCGAGUAACCUUUUGAUAGUGUAGUUUAGGCGUUUGACGAGCGUUUGAGCGAAUUUUAGUCUCAGCCGUGCAAGCUGGCUUUGGAGAAUGAGCCUUGUGCGGUGAAGUUUUCAUUCUUGCUAAGUAUGUAGAUGCCUAUGACGGACUAUUUUUGGACAGGGGUUCGACACCCCUCGCUUCCACCA